AGGAAAUUGCAUGAAGCCAGCCAAUCAUCAGUUUAGAGGUGUGUUCGUACCGGUACUGAUGGUCCUGGAGUGGGCGUGGCCUGUGUUACUGUGGUGAUGGCUCUGCUCUGUGUUGUGGGAUUGGCUGGUUCUGUAGAUGAUGUGGGUUCUGAGCUGGUGCCACUGUCACUCUGCCCAUCACCGGCCUGCUGGGCUAAAAGGACAAACACAGAUGAGCUUAAUUACUAGGGAUGCACUGACACUGACAGAAAAGUUACGUUGAUAACAGAGCCAAUAAUAAUUGUUAAGCAGUUGACAUGAUGACCAACAUUACAAAUCUGUAUGGUUUAGCAUAUUUUAUUUUUAAAAAAUGUUCACUCUGGAGUCUCAAUCUAAGUAAAAUAGGCAUCAAGACAUUUUCAUUUACAGUAGAAAAGAUGGAUAAUCUAUUUAAUUCUUCUGAGAGGGUGCAAACGGGUGUAAUUUAGCCCUGGUAUUAACAGCUUGAAAUGUCAGGCUAACCAGAUCAAACAUGUUAAUUAAGAAUGGGGGUGCAAACAAACAAAAAUACAUGAAAAAUAAUAAAAAAUAAAAAAUAAUACGCCUUUGAUAACACAUACUUUAUACACAAAUAAGUGACUAAAUAGUAUAAAACAUUUUUACAUUUUAAAGAUUAAAAAAAUAUGCCCAUGGAGCUAAAAAUAAGACGCCUCCCCUUUUAAAAACAAAUAAAAAGGAAAGAAAAUACAAUUAUCACUAAUAUUUAAUAAUAAAAAUACUAUAUAAUAUACAGAAUAUAAAAUAGAUGAAAACAUGAGUGGGUUAACAACUUCUGCUAACUGAAACAAACAAUUACGCAUUCCCUUCAAAUUAAUAAUACAAAUUGAUAUUUUAAUAUCUAUUAUAUAUUAUUAUAAUGUGCAUAUUUACACUAGGGAUGCUCAUAUUAACUGUUCAACGGUUAACUGAAAGUAAAAAAAAAAAAAAAGCUGCCCGAUUAAUAGUAUCAGUUUAAACGGUUUAAAAUUUUUUUUUAAAGUAUAGAAAAUCGAAAGUGAACAGUGAGCACACAUUCAAAAGCGAUUUCAAUACCGGCAUAUUGAUAGUGCAAAAAUUAUAAACAAUAUAAGAAUGUUUGUGGGACUGGAAGGUAAUGGUCAGAAGUUCAGAAGGAGCAGCAUUAUGAAACAGUUCCGCGUAGAGCUCUACUCCAGACCAUCCACACAACAAGUCAUCAUUUUAGGCUAUUUUUAAAAAAUAAAAACUAAACACAUUGUGCACUGAGGGAGCCCUGCUAUUUAUUUUUAUGUGUAGGUUCUGUUCUGUAUGCUGCUGUUUGCACUUAAACCUGUAAAUUUUUUUUUUUUUUUUUUUAAUGUCACAGACACUCAUCAAUUCUAUUUUUAUUUAAUACUAAUUUAUUAUUCUAAUCUUAUCAGUUGACUGUUAAUGUUCGAGUAACAAGUAAUGGUUGUCAGUCGGGAAAAUGAACCAAAAACGAGCAUCCCUAAUUUACACACAAAUAAUGUUCAGGUGUUGUAGAGAUAAAUACCUGUUCCUUCUCCAGUUUCUAAGCUGCUUGUAGCUGUGGUGGCCGUGUUUGUGGUGCCGGUCUCAUGGGUUUCACAGGGCGGAUUGGAACACACCCUCUGAACAGUGUUGUUCUGUCCAGCACCAACAGAAGAUGAGGCCUGGGUUGGUGUGUUGGUGGUACCUGUGCGGAGAUUCUUCGGCCGCAUGGAGCCUGAGCCAGCACUGCUCUCUGAGACGGGUGUUGCUGGUUCAGAAUCAGAAGCUGAAGAUGUAGCUGCCGAAGAUGCUGUCGUCUUGCUGUUUACGGUUUCCAUCUCUUUAGAUCCCAUGUCGCAGCUGGCAGUUGUGGCUGUGUUGGUGGUGCCCGUGUCAUGGGUCUCUGAGGGUGGGUUGGUGCAGACCUGCUGUGAACUGCCCAUGUUCACAGAGGCGGUGGUUGCCGUGUUGGUGGUGCCUGUCACGUGCAUCUCACAUGGAGGGUUGGAACAAAUCUGUUCAGUGCCCAUUUUGGCAGAAGCUGUUGUCGCCGUGUUGGUCGUUCCAGUCUCAUGGGUCUCACAUGGAGGGUUGGAACAGACCAGCGUCACAGUGGUAGGACCUUCGCCAGCACCGUCACCAGCAUCAGCACCAGUGGUGGAGGGCUGCUCUGAGGUGGGAGAGGCCAGGAUGGAGACAGGAAGAUCCUGUGCAGGCUGAGCCUCAGCACCACUUGGAGUCGUGAUCAGGGUUACUUGAGUAGGUUGGGCUGCCGACUAAGAUGGAAGAAAACCAUUAGGACAUUUUUUCAUUGUGUGUACCGAAAGGAAUGAAUAAAUAAUUGUAAAUAAUAUAAAGAUUUAUUUAAAAAAA
ensembl:lncRNA